GCCUGGGUGGCUCAAUGGUUGAGUGUCUGCCUUUGGCUCAGGGUAUAAUCCCGGGGUCUUGGGAUCGAGUCCCACAUCAGGCU
rnacentral:tRNA from 1 species